CCAAAGGAGUAAUUUAACUUCAAAAGAGAUGUCCGUCCAUACAAGUAUUACAAAGAAACAUUAGAAAUUUAAUGACAGUUCAGCAAUGCAAGGUCAUCAUUCGACGGUCUAUAAGGCAUUGUGGAGCAUUUUCUCAUACCUCAGACUAUCAGUAUGGGUUUGCUUACAUUGUUAAAGAAUUCAACUCAGAAGAAUGUAAAAAAGUGCACGCUUUAGGAAUUGUAUCUCUUACUGUCGGAACUAUGUUAAUUGGACAAGGUUUUAUUGGAGCGCGUUUAAAUCCAAAUGAAUUUGCCACCAGCAUAAUGAAAAGAAAUGGUUAUACAGCCGUGGUUGCUGGAGAAGUUUAGCAUGUUCUAGAAUGCAAGCCAGUUUUUAUCACACCAAGAUUUACCGAACAAUAUAUCAAGACUAAAUUUUCAAAAGGUCGUAUGUAACAUUGUAAACAAAAAUGAGAUUUUGCCACAGUAUGAUGCCUUCCAUGCUCCUUAAUGCGUGCCAAUGAAAAAAAUCUGAUAUAUUUAUUAAGGCUGCUCUAGAUUUUGAAACGAAAAAAUGACUGAAUCAGCAAACUGUUAAAAAUUGAACAAUCGUUACAUUAGUCGUUUUGUCAAUGAAGGACUGAUGUAACACUCAUAACGCUUUACGGUUUCGUCAAAAGUGAACACAACGUCGUAAGUCGCAAAAUUUGACGAAACUUGAUAAAGGUUUGUUAAGUCGAACGAAGUGUACAUCAGUAUCGCUAGCAACUUGCAAAUAUUAAUGUUCAAAGAACGCAAACAACGCUACAAACCCAGCAGCUUUUUACAAUAUGGAAAAUACAAAUAUGUUCGUUAAGCAAGGUAAAUUUAAUAAUCCAUUAUAAUAUAUUGUAGUCCAUCUAUUUCAUUUACAUUAUCGUAGUAUCUGCAUCUGGAUCGUUCGGAUCCCAGUUCAGGGAAUUUGUGGCGAGCAAACAGGUCAAUACCCAGCAAACAUCCCAUGCGCUGUACGGCAAUGCUUCCAGUUCACAUUAUCGAGCGUCAUAUUUAUUUGCACCCGAUACACCACAACGUCCUAUCACAGAGAAGAACGAUUCCGUAACCGAGCCACAGUGUGCCACGGACGUCAAACUUAAACGACAAAAAACAUUUCACCGAUCACAAGGGGUUUCGAACGUUGCACAUAAAUUUUCAUCUAUUAUCCCCGGAUACAAUCCACGUAAAUUCCGCGCACAACACACCGAUGCAUCUAAUGCAAAUAAGCACUCUUUUACAGAAAGCAGUGAUUUUGCAUCUGGCUCGUUUGGGUCACAGUUCAGACAAUUUGUUUCGAACACACAAAUCACACACACAUCCCGUGCGCCACGAACAUGUUCACCUUAUGCCCAUAAACAUCCGACUGUCACAAUUCCUUCAUCAGAAUCUCACAAGUCAAAACUCGUUAAUUUCUCUUCACCAAUUCAGUCCAGUCUAAGCGAAA